rnacentral:tRNA from 1 species
GCCCGGGUGGCGGAAUUGGUAGACGCGCUAGGUUCAGGUCCUAGUGCACUCUUUUGUGCGUGCUGGUUCGACUCCAGUCUCGGGCA